CUUCUCUCGAAUUAGCAGAGCUUUCACCAGGCCCUUCGCAGCCUGUUCGUAAUCAUCAACUGUGACCUGAAAAGAGAAGCUGUAUAAAUACUGAUGGAAGAGAAACAGGAGCAUCUAUUAAAAGAAAACAAUGGCUACUGAACAAACCUCUUAACUGUCUCCACAGAAUGCUGUUCUGCCAACUCCUUCUCCAGUUCCCUCUCUUUAGCCUCUUUCUGCCCAAUAGGACAAUCUUCAGGCACAGUGAAUAGUGACAAGGCAUCUUUGCUGUCUUCUUCUUGGAGAACUUUAGCAAAUACCUUCUCUGCUAGAAGCCGUACCUGCUCAUCAACCUCAGAAAUGUUCAGCUUUGGAAAUUGCCUAGGCAUCUCUGCUAAUAAGAAAAAACAAGCCAGUUCACAGAAUUGUAACUAAAAGUUGAAUAAAACAAUUAUAUUUCAGGGCAUUUCUACUGAAACUAAAAUAAGAGUUUAGAAUGAGAGAAAAAGUGUGCAUGCAUACAAUUUACAGCACACUAGCUAUGAAGCACACUACAGGACACUAGCUUAACAGUAGUCAAUAGUACAUAAGGCAACAACCAAUCUGUCAUAAGAAUCAAGGGAAUCCUUUGAGUAUGUGUGUUGUGGAGCUCAGUUUAAUUUGUGAAUUAGGACUUUUAUUUAAACUCAGAGGAUAAAUUUUGUUACUUCCAUCAGAAAGUAACACUUAAGGUACAAAUUGAUUUAGGCACAAAAAUGCCACUGCCUUAAGGCUGAUUGAAGAGAAUGAGACUGAAUGAAAGGCCAUUCUCUGUGCCAGAUGAUCAUAUGGUACAGGGUAAGAUGAGAUUUCCAUUGCUGAGUAAUGCUGCUUGGGCUGAAGGAUACUCUUGUAUUUAUCUUCUGUGUGAAGAUAUAGAGAAGGCAAGUAUGAUUAAUAAGGAAUUUCACUUGCACGAAUCUUUGUGAUUCACAACCUUGUGUCACAGGUCAGGGCAACUGCAUCUGUAUUUCCCCACAGUGGUCUGGCAAGGGCACUCACUCUCAAGCUUCCAGAGCCCUAGCCAUUGCUUUUCUUGGGCUGAUACCCUGGUCAGAAGGGAGUGAGAGACAGGUAUUUCCAGGCUGCACAGUUCCCUGACUCUACUGAGACAGGCUGCCAAGCACACCUGCUUGCUUUCACUUCAGAGACUGAUAACAGAAAGUUUGUCAACAGGGAUAAGUGACCACACCAUUCUUUUUAUGCAAAUCUAUUU